rnacentral:rRNA from 1 species
GACGAACGCUGGCGGCGUGCUUAACACAUGCAAGUCGAACGAUGAAGCUAGAGCUUGCUCUGGUGAAUUAGUGGCGAACGGGUGAGUAACACGUGAGUAACCUGCCCCGAACUCUGGGAUAACUGCUGGAAACGGUAGCUAAUACCGGAUACGACCUACGAAGGCAUCUUCUGUAGGUGGAAAGAAUUUCGGUUCGGGGUGGACUCGCGGCCUAUCAGCUUGUUGGUGAGGUAAUGGCUCACCAAGGCGACGACGGGUAGCCGGCCUGAGAGGGUGACCGGCCACACUGGGACUGAGACACGGCCCAGACUCCUACGGGAGGCAGCAGUGGGGAAUAUUGCACAAUGGGCGCAAGCCUGAUGCAGCAACGCCGCGUGAGGGAUGACGGCCUUCGGGUUGUAAACCUCUUUUGCCCGGGACGAACUGCCAGAUUUAUCUGGCUUGACGGUACCGGGUGAAUAAGCACCGGCUAACUCCGUGCCAGCAGCCGCCGUAA